UACAGAGGUCUCAAGCGUUGUUCGGAUUCAUUGGGCGUAAAGGGUGCGUAGGUGGCGAUGUAAGUCUGGUGUGAAAUCUCGGGGCUCAACCCCGAAAUUGCAUUGGAUACUAUAUUGCUAGAGGAUUGUAGAGGAGAGUGGAAUUCAUGGUGUAGCAGUGAAAUGCGUAGAUAUCAUGAGGAAGACCAGUUGCGAAGGCGACUCUCUGGGCAAUUCCUGACACUGAGGCACGAAGGCCAGGGGAGCGAACGGG
rnacentral:rRNA from 1 species